GUAAGGUUGCUUAUUAUGCUCAGGGAUUGCAACAUUGUCCACCUACACAGGCUGAGAGCGUGGAUGGGAUGGAGCACAUAAAGCCCGUGGAAGGGGUGGUCAAAGAGGGGCAAGGGGAUGGAGACAGGGAAAUCAGGGUUAUAGGGGCAGGGGUAACCAAGGAGGAAUAGAUAGGAACACUUGUUUCAACUGUGGACACUAUGGCCACUGGAGGAAUGAGUGUCCACACCCCAGGAAACCCCACACACCCCAACAACCCCACCUUUCUCAAAAUAUGCCCUGUAGGCAAGAACAACACCAGACCCACUCCCAACACCACUGGCCAGCAUAUCGCUUAGUUCAGGACUUUAGAGCCCUGAAUAGUUUAAUUGUGCCCAUUUCACCCAUUGUCCCUGAUGUGACAUCCCUCAUUACAGCCAUUCCACAUGAUGCCACUUGCUUCAUUGUCAUUGAUUUAAGUAAUGCAUUUUUUCUAUACCUAUUGAUCAAGAGACACAGCUACUUAUGGUUUUUACUUUUUGAAGGCUGUCAGUUUACCUGGACACGCUUACCCAAGGCUAUGUGGAUUCCCCAGCUGUUUAUUCGUUGGUACUCCAACAUACUCUAAAAACAUGGACCACCGGUCAUGGUUCCGUCCUUUUUUGCAAAAUGUUGAUGAUUUGUUGUUAUGUAGCCCUAGCUGUGAGGCAAGCACUGUGGAUACUGUCAGCAACUGUAGG